CUUUAAUUGCAUGACCUGAAUUUGUCAGUAUGUGAUUACGAUUACGAUUAUUGUAAUCGUAAUUGUAAUCACAUACUGACAAAUUCAGGUCAUGCAACUAAAG